rnacentral:lncRNA from 1 species
UCUGUCAUUUAUUUCCUUGGGUUUCAAAUUCUUAUCCUCCCUAUUUCCUGGACAAACUACUUGCCUUAGGUUAGUGUAAGAGCCCAUUUUUGCCCGGCCCGUUAGUAAAAUAAAAUCAAAUUAAAACCAAAAAAAAGUCCAAUAAAAUAGCAGUCCAAAUUACAAAAAUUCUAGGCCAAACAUGGCUCAAACCCAAGUUCCAAAUACCCAAUACCAGCCCAUUGGCUAUCCCUAGCCUGACGGCCCAAUACCAAGCAAAAUCAGAAACCCUAGCAGUAGCCUUCUGCCCUUGCGCCGCAAUCAGCCCCUCCUCGCACGCGCACCUUCGAACACCUCCCUCCACGUCACUGUACAGCCUCCGUAUGCCUGCAGAAAAUCAACACGCAAAGAGCACAAGUAGCCCCCUGCACACAACGAACGCAACAAACGCACAGAAAACGCAACAAAAACAAAAAACAACAGCAAAUAAAAAAUACAUAUUUCAUUGUAAUGUUUGUUUGUUUUAUCUUGGCUAUAUAAAGCCAUUUUCGAGAAUCUGUAAAUGGGGAAUUCUAUACAAAAACACAUACACAGAUUGUAAAGAAAAAAGAAAAGCAAUACAACAAAGGUUUUCUUUUUUCUCUCUUUGUGAUUCUGUUCUUUUUCCAAUCGUUCUUCUUCCUCUUGUUCUUUGUUUUUGUUAUUAAUACAUAUAUAAGUAUAUAUAUUUAUAAAAAAUAAGAGAUUAGAGGGAAAGGAGGUACCUGAUUGCCGAACUGUCGGUCACUCCGCUAUUAUCGGAGUUGGGCGAGAGGUAGGAAGGUCUCUAAGCGGCUGGUUCUUCGAACGGCGCAUGGGGGAGUACCUCUCUGCUCUAGGUUUUUUAAAAUAAAAAGAAGGCUGCUGAAGACUUAGGUUUUAUUUUAUUCUUUUUAGUUCAUAGGCAACGAAAGAAGCGGCGCCGUUUAAUGGCCUGCGACCCACCCGAUGACGCGAUCCAAUCGCGGCUUGACCCGCGUGUUUUGGUAGGGGAGGACUAUUUGCGCGUCAGGUCCUCCACUUUUUCGUUUGGGUUCAAUCUAGUUUCUAUCGUUCUUUUAAAUUGGGCCGCCUAUUUUCCUGUGAUUUUCAUUUUAGUCCAGCUUGCAACGCCGCAUUUUAGAGGGUGGGGAAUAUUCCCCUUUUGGUCCCCCAUGUUAUGCGCGUUUCGCGAUUUGGACCCCUUUUUUAUUUAUUUUAGAUUUUUACCCUACAUUAUGGCUUUUUUUGACAAUUUUGUCCUCUGUUUAUUGUUAUUGCUAAAAAUCAUUUUAUUUGUUGUUUUUA